CCCAUCAUGCCCCGCAGCAGCGCCACCCAGCGGUGAAGAGGCGGAACUGCAGCUUCUGACCCACAUGUGGCCGGACGCCUUUAAAUCUAUCGCAAUUACGAGAGCAAGGGCUCAUGAAAGUGCACGAAAAGUGUGUUUUUGCGCUGAGGAGCGUCCUGCGUACUAAUAUAUGAUCUGAAGGCCGUGGAGGGACGCGCGCGGAGUAAAUCAGGGCUCAGAGCUGCUGUGACCCGGAGCCAAAGAUGCAAGACGGGCCAGGAAAGGGUGGGCAGAGCUCAGAUGAGAGUUUGGAGGAAGAGGAGGCUCAGCGGUGCCCAAUCUGUCUGAACCGACCCAGACGGACGGAAAGAGCCGUACCCGACUGCUGCAGACACGUCUACUGCUU